AGACUGGCCUGGGCAGCCUUGUAUUCCUGGUUCUUCCCAGAGUUGGGAAAAGCUGGGUGGAGAGGGCGAGGAAGGGAAAAAA
rnacentral:pre_miRNA from 12 species